rnacentral:rRNA from 1 species
CAGCAGCCGCGGGAAUACGUAGGUGGCAAGCGUUGUCCGGAAUUAUUGGGCGUAAAGGGCUCGCAGGCGGCAUACACAGUCAGAUGUGAAAUUCCUGGGCUUAACCUGGGGGCUGCAUUUGAUACGUGUAGGCUAGAGUGGGGAAGAGGGUUGUGGAAUUCCCAGUGUAGAGGUGAAAUUCGUAGAUAUUGGGAAGAACACCGGUGGCGAAGGCGGCAACCUGGUCCUUGACUGACGCUGAGGCGCGAAAGCGUGGGGAGCAAACAGGAUUAGAUACCCCCGUAGUCCCUGUCUCUUAUAC